CUAUAAUAUAUAAUUUAUUCAAUUCAAUUUACAUUAGUAGUUCAUGGUAAACUCAGAAUUGACACAGAACAGAUAUCUGGAACAAUGUCCAUUUUGUGCAUGUGGCUAGUAUAUGCUGCAUGAACAAUACUGAAGGCUCAGCCAAUAGUGAAACACAGUCUGGCUCAGUAAACAAUUAAACAGGCUGUAUAUUGAAUGGUAGCAACAGUAUUGCUAUCCAUUUAUAAUACGGUUCCAAACAACCUACGUGAUGAUUGCAGCUUUGGAAUACUUUUGCCAUAUAUUCCUAUUGGACAUAGUUUUAUGAGAUAAGGUCUGUCCCCAUAGACCAGGAUAAGAUACUCCUGAUUGAAGCAUGUCAUCCUGGUAUGGGAGGGAUCAGCCUGCAAACUAAUAGGUGCUCCAAUAAACAAAAUUCAGUUAUUGAACUUAUUUAUUUUUAAUGUUAUAUUUUGGAAUAUUUUAAUACAGUAUUUGUACAAUGUAUAAAAACAUAUGUAUGUAUAUAUGUUGGGUCAUUUUAAACUUCACAUUAUUGAGAAAAAGUUUUUUGGGUAAAGUUGUAUCUGCAUGAAUGUUUCUCCUAAUUAAUAAAAAUGCAGAUAUCUAAUAAGGCUAGUCUGCCUUGACUAUUUUGGAGAUGCAAGCUCGUAUCAGGAGUCUUCUGAUGUAUUUUGGACCAUAUUAUGCCAUGACUACAUACAAUCCUGCAAAAUAUUAACUCUAUGAUAUAAGCAAAACGAAAAACACAAAGUAUUAGUAGUUCUUGAAUAAGAUUUAAUAAGACAAAAACUGUAAGUGCUUAUGGUUUGGUUUUUUUUAGCAUUAAUUUGCUUUUUCAGUAAAAUAUUGUCUUGCAAUUUCCUUAUAGUAAUUAGUUUUAAACUAAAACUAUUCAAUACUGUUCCAGUGGAGAAAGUAAGCGGAUAAAUCUGACUUGUGAUAUAGACAUGGAGAUAUAUAGAUAUACAUGCAGUUCUAGGAACAGCUAAGAUACUGCGCAGAAUCCUCAGACCUCCAGGCCUCUGUUAGAGGACCCAGGAAUAAGGAAUAAAUACAACACCCAGAAGGGUUGAGAAAAUCAAU